AUGUUAACAGUGGCAGUAGUAGUAGUAGCAGCAUUAGCAAUGGUAGUAGCAGUAGCAGAAACUGUAGUGACAGUAGUAGUAGUGGUAGUAGUAACAGUAGCAGAAACAGUAGUAACAGUAGUAGUAGUAGUGGUAGUUGAAACAGUAGCAGAAACAGUAGUAACAGUAGUAGUAGUAGUGGUAGUUGAAACAGUAGCAGAAACAGUAGUAACAGUAGUAGUAGUAGUAGUGGUAGUAGUAACAGUAGGGGUAGUACCGGUAGUAACAGUAGAAAUAGUAGUUGAAACAGUAGUAAUAGUAGUAGUAGUUGAAACAGUAUUAGUAGUAGUAUUAGUGGUAGUAGUAACAGGAGAAGUAGUAGUAGAAACAGUAGCAAUAGUAGUAGUAGUAGUAGUAGUUGAAACAGUAUUAGUAGUAGUAUUAGUGGUAGUAGUAACAGGAGAAGUAGUAGUAGUAGUGGAAACAGUAGCAAUAGUAGUAGUAGUAGUAGUAGUUGAAACAGUAGUAGUAUUAGUGGUAGUAGUAACAGUCGAAGUAUUAGUGGAAACGGUAGUAAUAGUAGUAGUAGUAGUAGUAGUGCUGAUAGUGGCAGUAGCAGCAUUAGCAAUGGUAGUAGCAGUAGCAGAAACAGUAGUAACAGUAGUAGUAGUUGAAACAGUAGUAGUAGUAGUAUUAGUGGUAGUAGUAACAGGAGAAGUAGUAGUGGAAACAGUAGUAAUAGUAGUAGUUGAAACAGUAGUAGUAGUAGUAUUAGUGGUAGUAGCAACAGUAGAAGUAGUGGUAGUUGAAACAGUAGUAGAAGUAGUAUUAGUGGUAGUAGCAACAGUAGAAGUAGUAGUGGAAACGGUAGUAAUGGUAGUAAUAGUAGUAGUAAUAGUUGUAGUAGUGCUGAUAGUGGCGGUAGCAGCAUUAACAAUGGUAGUAGCAGUAGCAGUAACAGUAGUAGUAGUAGUAGAAUUAGUGGUAGUAGUAACAGUAGAAGUAGUAGAGGAAACGGUAGUAUUAGUAGUGUGGCGAGCUCGAGUUGCGGAAGAACCCAGAUGCAGAUUUCAGUCAGCUUAUUCUGCUGAUCAAAUGCAGAAAGAGCCACUUAAAUUAACACUCAACAGUACAUUAACACGAACAAAGGGAAGUCUUCAAUGGCACACAUAA
rnacentral:lncRNA from 1 species